CUCCCCGUUUUUUCUCCCCACCUCCUACCUUCCUCCCCUCCCCCCAGGCCCCAAGUGCAGAGCCUGGAGGCUGUGCCCUGCCCUGGGGUGGGUCAAGCCCUGGUCCCCAAGACCAAGAUGUGCCCUGCCACCCCCUCCCUCACAACCUCUUAAUGGACCAGCUUGCCCCGUCUGGGGGCCUGGACACACCCCACCUUUUCCAGGCAUCCCCAAAUCCCCAAGGUUUCCUGCACCCCCAGGCCCUGGAGCCAGCUCCCCUGGAGACCUGACCUGCAGUGUGGGCAGAGCUUGCAGGCACUCAGGAUACUUGGCUGCUGACAAAGUUCUUCACCAGUCAGGCACAUCUAGAACAUUCCAAACCAGGCCUCUCCUGUUUUCCCAGAAUGAGGUCUUCCUGCCAAGGAGCCGGCGGCCGCAGCAGGAGAAUGCCCUUCAGGGCCAGCGUCUAGACAGGCCUGGGGCCACCCCGGGAACAUGCUGGAGGGGACCGGCAGCAGAGGCGGGACUGGCUGUUAGACACACGGGCUCUGAACAUGGUAGAGGGCAGCCCAGGACAGAGGAGACAAGGCACAGCUGUCCUGGAGCCCACACUUCUAGCUUCAUGACCUUCGAUAAUCCCAAACCUCUCUAACCUGUUUCCUAAUUUGUACCAGGGGGAUGGGAGAGAAUUAAAUGAAGCCUCCAAAAAGCUACUCUCCUUGUUCCCGCCUCUCAAGCAUCAUUGCCCAGGACUGCCUUUCAUUGCUGCUGUUGUUUUGCAUUUUAUCGUGGAACGUUUCGAACAUACCUAAAUGCCGAGUGUUUGGACACUGAGGUCAUGUUUUGUAAAAAUUCUCUACAUUUCCCCUCCCGGAAUGCCGACAUCCCUCUAGGGAGAUGAGCACGCCUCAUGGAAGGACUUUGAUGCCUCUAUUGAACCUUGUGCCAAUCCCGUGGACCCAUGAUUCCAGACAGGAUGAGGAACCACGACCGGUCCCAGAACCACAGGACUGGGCAUCUGGCAACCAGACAGCCUUCGUCUCUGGCGUCACCGAGCUCUGCUAGCUGCAUUCCCUGACGCAUAAAGGAUGUCGUAGGCUUUGCAUGAAAACACACCCACAGGCAAGGAUUGUUCCCACCUGGUUAGGAUUCAGUUUUGAAAAGUUAUCGUAUGGAGUAGCCUGAGUGAAAGAUUCUCUUCUAAGAACUCUGGACUUGCUGACAGAAGUAAAAAACAUGUUCACAUCUUCCUUGGGCACCGGGACAGCCCUCUUCGAGGCCAGCACUCCAUGCUUGCUUGCAAAGCACUCG